rnacentral:lncRNA from 10 species
GCCACACAUCUACAACCAUCUGAUCUUUGACAAACCUGACAAAAAGAAGCAAUGGGGAAAGGAUUCCUUAUUUAAUAAAUGGUGUUGGAAAAUGCUAGCCAUAUGCAGACAACUGAAACUGGAUCCCUUCCUUAAACUUUAUACAAAAAUUAACUGAAGAUGGAUUAAAGACUUAAACUUAAGACCUAAAACCAUAAAAACUCUAGAAGAAAACCUAGGCAAUACCAUUCAUGACAUAGUUAUGGGCAAAGACUUCAUGACUAAAACACCAACAGCAAUGGCAACAAAAGCCAAAAUUGACAAAUGGGAUCUGAUUAAAUUAAAAAGCUUCUGCACAGCAAAAGAAACUCUCAUCAGAGUGAACAGGCAGCCUACAGAAUAGGAGAAAAUUUUUGCAAUCUAUCCAUCUGACAAAGGGCUAAUAUCCAUAAUCUACAAAGAACUUAAAUAGAUUUACAAGAAAAAAACAAGCAACCUCAUCAAAAAGUGGGCAAAGGAUAUGAACAGACACUUCUCAAAAAAAGUCAUUUAUACAGCCAACAAACAUGAAAAAAAGUUCAUCAUCACUGGUUAUUAGAGAAAUGCAAAUCAAAACCACAAUGAGAUACCAUCUCACGCAAAUUAGAAUGGCAGUCAUUAAAAAGUCAGGAAGCAACAGAUACUGGAGAGGAUGUGGAGAAAUAGGAACACUUUUACACUGUUGAUGGGAGUAUAAGUUAGUUCCACCAUUGUGGAAGACUUUGUGAUUCCUCAAGGAUCUAAAACUAGAAUUACCAUUUCACCCAGCAAUCCCAUUACUGGGUAUAUACCCAAAGGAUUAUAAAUCAUUCUACUAUAAAGACACAUGCACCUGUAUGUUUACUGUGGCACUGUUCACAAUAGCAAAGACUUGGAACCAACCCAAAUACCCAUCAAUGAUAGACUGGAUAAAGAAAAUGUGGCAAAUAUACACAAUCGAAUGCUAUGCAGCCAUAAAAUAUGGUGAGUUCAUGUCUUUUGCAGGGAUAUUGAUGAUGCUGGAAACCAUCAUUCUCAGCAAACUAACACAGGAACAGAAAACCAAACACUGCAUGUUGUUACUCAGUGGGAGUUGAACAAUGAGAACACAUGGACACAGGGAGGGGAACAUCACACCACAGGGCCUGUUGGGGGGCUAGGGGAAGGAUAGUAUUGGGAGAAAUACCUAAUGUAGAUGAUGGGUUGAUGGGUGCAGCAAACCAUCAUUGUAUGUGUCUACCUGUGUAACAAACCUGCACGUUCUGCACAUGUAUCCCAGAACUUAAAGUAUAAUUAAAAAAAAAAAAAAAGAAAGAAAAAGAAAUUUUCCAACUCAAAAAAAAAAAGAACAUAUUCCCUAUGGAUAAGGGAGAAAAACUAUAAAUACAAAAUUAUUUUAAAAUAAAGUUGUUACUUUAUUAUUCUAAAAUAUAGAAAUAUUAAAACAAAAAAUUAUUUAGAAUAAUAAAAUAAAAAGUUUAUUAAAAAAUUUAUAAAGUUUAUCCAAAUGUUUAUGAAAAUUAUAUAAAUAUUAGAUUUCAGGAAUGUGGAGAGAGUAAGACCAGAGCUCCCAGUCAGGUUUCUAAAUGUAAUGGUGUUUUUUGCUGUUCUGUAGCAAAAUAAGAAUAGGACAAUGUAAUAUAUUUUUCAUGAAGCUAAAUUGAUACAAUAUAAAUAAUUAUUCCUUAUUCUGAGAUUGUAGAGUUUGUCAUGUUAAAAUAUAUUUUGCUUUGAAAUGGUGCUAAUACUAGGUCUGGUCUGCCAGUAUAAAAAGUUGAUAUUGGUCCCUGAAAUAAAAAGUCUGAGAUCCAUAUCCUUUAGAAAAUCAAUUCCUGACAACUCAGAGAUUUGCUCCUCUUCCUAAGCAGAGCCAAAAUAUUAUUGUUCCAUGGUGUUUUCUUAUAUCUUUCUCUACCUAUAUUUAAGAGUGUGGAUGGGUAUCCUAUACCUCUGGACCCUCAGGCAAAGGAAAUCAAAGCAGAAGAACCAAGUAAAAUAAAACAAAGAUUUCCCACAAUCUCCCUGGCAUCCAGUGGUAGGAGGACAUGCCAGCUUUUUCCAAAUUUCAGAACCCAUGUAAAAGACUCCUUUAUUAACUCUUACCAGUGAAGAAGAAAAUGAAGACUAGAGAAGAUGGUACCUCAGGGCAAUGGAUUCAGAAAACCUUCACAGUGGACAGUGGACAGAGAACAGAACUGUGGAACGGACAAUCAGCCCUCUGUAUUUGUGGGUUCCGCGUCUGUGGAUUCAACCAACUGCAGACUGAAAGUAUCUGGGCGGGGGGGAGGGAAGAAUGUUUGCAUCCAUACUGAAUAUGUACAGACUUUUUUUCUCGUCAUUAUUCCCUAAACAAAACAGUAUACCAAGUAUUUACAUAGCAUUUAAGUUGUAUUAGGUAUUAUAAGUAACCUCGAGAUAGUUCAAAGUAUAUGGGAAGAUGUGUGUAGAUUGUAUGCAAAUACUACAUCAUUUUAUAUCAGGGAUGCCAUGGAUUUUGGUGUCCUCACGGGGUCCUGGAACAAAUCCCCCAUAGAUACAAAGGGUCAACUAUAUGUGAAUACACACACACAGACACAAGUGUACACACAUACACACAUUUACAUUUACUUUCAUAUUCAUCAGUAUAUAUUGACAACUGUGAAUUCACAUUAAUACCUCCAAUUCCUCCAAAUCAACGCCAACAGGAUCCAUUCUAUCUCCUUUUCCAGAUUUGUAACUCCCUUCUUUGACAGUGAGAAACCUGUCUCUUGUUAUCCUUCAUACAUUUACUUACUAGGCAAUCUCCCUGUUUGUAACAAAUCUCAUGUCACCCGCACCAUGCACCCCAUGGUGUGGAUGCUCCAUUUAUCCUGCCUGGGUUGUGACUCCCUCCACAGGACUGGCACUGCUGACCCUCUGUGGAGAAGCUGCUUAACCCACUUCAGCUCCAACAUCAGUACUGGGGCCACUUUCUGCCUGGAUGCCCUCCUCACCUCCUUUGGCUCAAACUCCCUGCUCUGUAUCAUGAGGAAUGUCUUAAUCUGUUUGUGCUAAUAAAGUACCACAGACUGGGUAAUUUAUA